CGGAGGGUGCAAGCGUUAUCCGGAUUCACUGGGUUUAAAGGGUGCGUAGGUGGGUUGGUAAGUCCGUGGUGAAAUCUCCAAGCUUAACUUGGAAACUGCCGUGGAUACUAUCAAUCUUGAAUCUCGUGGAGGUAAGCGGAAUAUGUCAUGUAGCGGUGAAAUGCUUAGAUAUGACAUAGAACACCGAUAGCGAAGGCAGCUUGCUACACGAGUAUUGACACUGAGGCACGAAAGCGUGGGGAUCAAACAGGAUUAGAUACCCUGGUAGUCCACGCCCUAAACGAUGGAUACUCGACAUACGCGAUACACAGUGUGUGUCUGAGCGAAAGCAUUAAGUAUCCCACCCGGGAAGUACGACCGCAAGGUUG
rnacentral:rRNA from 1 species